rnacentral:tRNA from 1 species
GCACCGAUAGCUCAGGGGUAGAGCGAGGUAAGAUCAUAUGACUUCCAUUUUCAGUAUGAUUUCGAUAACUAACAAUAUAACAGGAUUUGCAGUGUCCUAGGUCAAGCGUUCAAAUCGCUUUCGGUGCU